UACGAAGGGGGCUAGCGUUGUUCGGAAUUACUGGGCGUAAAGCGCGUGUAGGCGGCAACGCAAGUCGGAUGUGAAAUCCCAUGGCUCAACCAUGGAAGUGCACCCGAAACUGCGUCGCUAGAGUCCUGGAGAGGAAGGUGGAAUGCUUGGUGUAGAGGUGAAAUUCGUAGAUAUCAAGCGGAACACCGGUGGCGAAGGCGGCCUUCUGGACAGUGACUGACGCUGAGACGCGAAAGCGUGGGGAGCAAACAGG
rnacentral:rRNA from 1 species